rnacentral:rRNA from 1 species
GACGAACGCUGGCGGCGUGCUUAACACAUGCAAGUCGAACGGAAAGGCCCUGCUUUUGUGGGGUGCUCGAGUGGCGAACGGGUGAGUAACACGUGAGUAACCUGCCCUUGACUUUGGGAUAACUUCAGGAAACUGGGGCUAAUACCGGAUAGGAGCUCCUGCUGCAUGGUGGGGGUUGGAAAGUUUCGGCGGUUGGGGAUGGACUCGCGGCUUAUCAGCUUGUUGGUGGGGUAGUGGCUUACCAAGGCUUUGACGGGUAGCCGGCCUGAGAGGGUGACCGGCCACAUUGGGACUGAGGUACGGCCCAGACUCCUACGGGAGGCAGCAGUGGGGAAUAUUGCACAAUGGGCGGAAGCCUGAUGCAGCAACGCCGCGUGCGGGAUGACGGCCUUCGGGUUGUAAACCGCUUUCGCCUGUGACGAAGCGUGAGUGACGGUAAUGGGUAAAGAAGCACCGACUAACUACGUG